rnacentral:rRNA from 1 species
GGCGGCAGGCCUAACACAUGCAAGUCGAGCGGAUGAGUGGAGCUUGCUCCAUGAUUCAGCGGCGGACGGGUGAGUAAUGCCUAGGAAUCUGCCUGGUAGUGGGGACAACGUUUCGAAAGGAACGCUAAUACCGCAUACGUCCUACGGGAGAAAGCAGGGGACCUUCGGGCCUUGCGCUAUCAGAUGAGCCUAGGUCGGAUUAGCUAGUUGGUGAGGUAAUUGCUCACCAAGGCGACGAUCCGUAACUGGUCUGAGAGGAUGAUCAGUCACACUGGAACUGAGACACGGUCCAGACUCCUACGGGAGGCAGCAGUGGGGAAUAUUGGACAAUGGGCGAAAGCCUGAUCCAGCCAUGCCGCGUGUGUGAAGAAGGUCUUCGGAUUGUAAAGCACUUUAAGUUGGGAGGAAGGGUUGUAGAUUAAUACUCUGCAAUUUUGACGUUACCGACAGAAUAAGCACCGGCUAACUCUGUG